CUGAGGCAGGAGAAUGGUGUGAACCCGGGAGGCGGAGCUUGCAGUGAGCCAAGAUUGUGCCACUGCACUCCAGCCUGGGCGACAGAGCGAGACUCUGUCUCAAAAACAAAAAAAAGAAAAGAAGUAAAAAAAGCCGGGCGUGGUGGCUCAUGCCUGUAAUCCCAGCACUUUGGGAGGCCGAGGCGAGCAGAUCACGAGGUCAGGAGUUUGAGACCAGCCUGGCCAAGAUAGUGAAACCCCAUCUCUACUAAAAAUACAAAAAAUUAGCUGGGCGUGGUGGGGGGCAUCUGUAAUCCCAGCUACUUGGGAGGCUGAGGCAGAAGAAUCGUUUGAAUCCGGGAGGUGGAGGUUGCAGUGAGCUGAGAUCACGCCACUGCACUCCAGCGCUGGCGACAGUGCGAGACUCUGUCACAAAAAAAAAAAAAAGAAGUAAAAAAACUCAGUGGACUUUAUCCUCAUAUUAACAUAAACAGUUUAAAUAGUAUUUCUCAGAUUAUAAAGCACGUUUACAUCUAUUAUCUGAUUUGAUUGAAUGUUCAAAACAAUCCUGUGGGGUAGAUGUGUUAUAUAUACUUAAUAGAUUUAAUAAAUUUCUAAAAUUAACUCAAUGAAUAUUUGUCGAGCAACUACUGUUUGCCAGGCACUAGUCUAGAAGAUGACCAUUCAGACAAAAAGAAAACACACCAAGACCCUACAAAAAUGUUUAUGUAACUUGCCCAAGAACACAGAAGGUGAAUCCAAUCAUUUUGACUGGUGUAUUCUAUCAUUUUUUCUAUCUUAAUUUGGAAAAAUGAAGCAUAGAUUUUUUUUUUUUUUUUGAGACGGAGUCUCGCUCUGUCGCCAAGGCUGGACUGCAAUGGCGUGAUCUCGGCUUACUGCGACCUCCACCUCCCAGGUUCAAGCAAUUCUCCUUCCUCAGCCUCCUGAGUAGCUGAGACUACAGGCAU
rnacentral:lncRNA from 10 species